CGCCUCCUGCUGGCUGCACUGGUGCAGGACUAUGUGCAGAUGAAGGCCAGUGAGCUGGAGCAGGAGCAAGAGAGAGAGGGCUCCAAAUCAUUGCCCAGAAGAGAGCCUGUGACACUGCCACCUGUGUGACUCAUCGGCUGGCAGGCUUGCUGAGCAGAUCAGGGGGUGUGGUGAAGAACAACUUUGUGCCCACCAAUGUGGGUUCCAAAGCCUU
rnacentral:lncRNA from 1 species